GGCUUGGUGGCGGAGCGGUUUCUGUAUCUGAAUUUGCUUGGUUUGUCCAGAAGACUUAUGCAGAACAUCGCUGGUUCAACUCCAGCCCAAGCCA